rnacentral:rRNA from 1 species
CAAGGAAUUUUGAGCAAUGGGCGAAAGCCUGACACAGCAACGCCGCGUGAGGGAUGACGGCCUUCGGGUUGUAAACCUCUUUUCUCAGGGAAGAAUAAUGACGGUACCUGAGGAAUAAGCUUCGGCUAACUACGUGCCAGCAGCCGCGGUAAUACGUAGGAAGCGAGCGUUAUCCGAAUUUACUGGGCGUAAAGUGGGCGUAGGCGGCCUUUCAAGUUGGAUGUGAAAUCUCCUGGCUUAACUGGGAGGGGUCAUCCAAUACUGCUAGGCUGGAGGACAGCAGGGGAAAGUGGAAUUCCCGGUGUAGUGGUGAAAUGCGUAGAUAUCGGGAGGAACACCAGUGGCGAAGGCGGCUUUCUAGGCUGUCUCUGACGCUGAGGCCCUAAAGUGUGGGGAGCGAACAG